UACGGAGGGUGCGAGCGUUGUCCGGAAUCACUGGGCGUAAAGGGUGCGCAGGCGGCCAGAUGUGUGAGGCGUGAAAGCCCGGGGCUUAACCCCGGAAUUGCACCUCAAACUAUUUGGCUAGAGCAUUGGAGAGGGAAGCGGAAUUCACGGUGUAGCAGUGAAAUGCGUAGAUAUCGUGAGGAACACCAGAGGCGAAGGCGGCUUCCUGGACAAUUGCUGACGCUCAGGCACGAAAGCGUGGGGAGCAAAAGGG
rnacentral:rRNA from 1 species